UUUAUAUUUUUGUAAUGUGUUUUGUUAUUGUCUCUAAUUAAAGAAAUAAGAGGUGGUUUAGAUGAAUAGACACAAUGCAAAAAAUAGCUGAGGAAUUUUAAAAAAAUGUUAACACAACAUACUAACAGAUUUUCAAGUUCGGUUGAGUAAUAUAUGCUCCAGGUGACACAGAUGCUUUAAAGAUGAACAUCAAUUUGUUUGUGACUAAUCCCUCUUUAUUCAAAAAC